GUUUACCUAAGCAAGCCUGCGCAAUAGCGGGCGCCCCUCCCCCAGCCUCGCUGCCGCCUUGCAGUUUGAUCUCAGACUGCUGUGCUAGCAAUCAGCGAGACUCCGUGGGCGUAGGACCCUCUGAGCCAGGUGUGGGAUAUAGUCUCGUGGUGCGCCGUUUUUUAAGCCGGUCUGAAAAGCGCAAUAUUCAGGUGGGAGUGACCCGAUUUUCCAGGUGAGGAAAACGGAACCUUGCAUAGAUUAGGCAAUCUGCCUCAAGUUACCCAGAUAGAAAAUGUUGAAGCAGGAAUCUACAUGCAAGAAUCUCAUAGAGACUCCAACUCUCACCACAGACUGCAACCAGCUCUUCUUGUGAUGUAAGAGCUUGUUAUGAAGCAGAGGAUUCCAUCUACUCCUUAAAAAGUAGGAUGACCCCUUUAAAGUCCUCAAAAUGGUGUUGCUGCAGGUAAUCUUUUUGCAAUGUGGAGGGUUGCCUGUAACUAUGGUUUCAGAAAUACAUCAUCUUUCAGAGAAAGCAACCUCCCUACAGUGCGGCUUUACAGCUGUGAACAGCAGCUAUGCUUUGACUGUUAAAGUUUCUUAGAUAUUAUUGAUAGCCAGUGCUUCUCAAGGCAUUAAUAAAACCUGGAGACAAGAAGGAAACACUGAGGGUAAGUGACCAUCUUUGUUAUCAUUAUUGAAGAAUUGUUGCCAUAAAACAUACAACAUGUGAAAUGCAAGUUUUCAAAUCUGUAUAGUGUUUAGUAUAUUCACAAUGUUGUGCAAACUUAACCUCUAUCUAGUUCUAAAACACUUUCAUCAACUCCACAGGAGACUCUCUGCUUAUUAAGCAGUUGUUCCCUGUCCUCCCAGUCCCUGGCAAUUCUAAUGGGUUUGCCUAUUCUGAAUAUUUCAUAUGAAUGGAAUCAUAUAAUAUGUGAACUUCUGUGUCUGGCUUCUUCACUUAGCAUGUUUUCAAGUUUCAUACACAUCGUAGUAUAUUUCAGAACUUCAUUCCUUCUAAUGGCUGAAUACUCUUUCAUUGUGUGGUUAAGCUACAAUUUGUUUAACGAUACCCAUUCAUCUGUUGAUGGAAAUUUGGGUUGUUUCCAACUUUUGGCUAUUGUGAAUAGUGCUGCUGUGAACAUUUGUGUGCAAAUAUUUGUUUGAAUACCUGUUUUUAAUUCUUUUGGAUAUAUACUUAACAGUGGAAUUGCUGGGUCAAAUGGAAAUUCUGUAAUUGACUUCUUAAGGAAUCACUAAACUGUUUUCUAUAGCCACUGCUCCAUUUUACAUUCAUACAAGCAGUGUAUGAGGGGUUCCAAUUUCUCCACAUUUUUGCUACCAUAGCAUUUGUCUUCCCUUCUUUUUUAUUUUCUCUUUCUCCCUCCCUCUCUCUUUCCUUCCUUUCUCUCUCCCUCCCUCUCUCCCUCCUGAUUCCAGCUUUUCUAGUGGGUUUGAAAGAGUAUCUCAUUGUGCUUUGGUUCACAUUUCCCUAAUGGCUAAUAAUGUACAUGUUUUCAUGUACUUGUUGGCCAUUUGUAUAUAUUUUCUUUGAAGAAAUGUUACUUCAAGUCUGCAGUGUAACUCUUGGAUCCUCUUUUCACACUGAGGCCUCUCUUGCCUUGUCUUCCCCAUAUGCAGUAAAGAUGGUGAUGAUGAUAGCUGCCAAAAGCCAGGCACAAGGCUAAAUACUUUAGAUGCAUUAUCUCGUUUAAUUCUUUCAUGUUUAUCUCCAUUUUAAAGAUAAGGAAACUGAGGCACAGAGAGGUUAAGUUGAACGUGGGUCAUUAAAAAUCAAGAGGUGGAGACUGAUUUCAAAGCCUGUUCUUUCUGAUUUGAAAAGUUCCAUGCUCUUAACCUCUGCCUAAGGGGUCUGUAGACUAACUUGUAUUGCAUACAUGGACCAGAAGAUUGUGUUUUUACUGUGUACCAUCUUAUACAUUUUUAAUAAUAAGUUUAAGUGGCUGAGAAGGAUGUAAUUUUCUACAUAUUAUAAAUAUUAUAAUUUAAAAAUGUAACUGUUAGAUUAUGCUUUUAAAUGUUUCCAAGGGAAUCUAAAUGCCAUGGUGAUAUGUUACCCAGAACAAUUAAUUUAAAAAAACUCAUGAACAAUCCCUUCUUUUUUUUGCUCAAAAUUGUACAUUUAUUAUACUACUACCCUAGAAUAUUAUCAUAAUAUAACAAUUUUCAUGCUUGAAAGUCUUUUAUUGAUCAUCCUCUCAUACUUUCUGUAUCAAAAAUGUGAAUAUAAAUUAAAAUUGAACUUUAAAUAAUUUCUUUCAACUAUAAAGCUCUGAGGGUUAAACAUUCCUUUUGAUUGAGUUGUUAUUAUAUUAUUAGUAAUAGUCAAUUGAUAAAAUAAAAAAAUUACAGAGUUUGAUAAAUUAUCACUAACUCUAACAAGUAGAUUUGUAUUGGAAAUGUACCCUUUUAGUAGAAUGGAUGGAGUGUUAUGCUACCUUGAUUAAAGGGGACUCUAUGCAUAACAAUUUUUCAACUUGUCCCUUGCUUGACAGCCUAGAUCAUUAUUGCAAUAGAGAAAUGCAACAUAGCAAAUUUGUGAUAGGUAAAAGGAAUGCCUUUCUUUUUUUUUUGAUAAUUUAGAGGAGUUAAUUUUUUAAAAGUUAGUAGGAAAGGAAAUGUUGCUAGCGUGCAGCGCAGCCUUCACCACACACAGAAAUGUUCUUAAAAAGGUCAAGUUUAGAAUAGAUUACAUCGAGAAAUAAUGGAUCUGGACAUUGAUUCUCUUAGGAGGAUUCAUACCUCUGACUCCUUGGAGGAGCCUUCUGUAUUCCCAGGGUUUUGCAUACCCCAGUUGGAAGAUCACUACCUUGUACUAUUCUAGUAAGUGAGUGGCCAAGACUCUAGCCCUUUCCCACCAGUGUACUCCAUAAAAAAAAAUGGCCACUUAAACUAUGACUACAGCCUGCUAAGUAUUUUGCGUAUGUGAUAUUGUUUAAUUAUUGGAACAACUCUGCAAGGUAGUAUUAUGCUCACUAUACAGAAAAAGUAAUUUGUUUGGAUCACAGAAAUUAUAAGCGGUUGAGCAAAAUUUUGAAUUUAUUCUGUUUCUUCUCUUUUCCUCCCUUCUUUAUUGGGCUUGUUUCAAUUAGAAGCAAUGCAAUUCAGGCCAGGCGCGGUGGCUCACGCCUAUAAUCCCAGCACUUUGGGAGGCCGAGGCGGGCGGAUCAUGAGGUCAGCAGAUCCAGACCAUCCUGGCUAACACGGUGAAACCCCGUCUCUACUAAAAAUACAAAAAAAUGAGCCGGGUGUGGCGGUGGGCUCUUCUAGUCCCAGCUACUCCGGAGGCUGAGGCAGGAGAAUGGCGUGACUCUGGAAGGCGGAGCUUGCAGUGAGCCAAGAUCGCGCCACUGCACUCCAGCCUGGGCGACAGAGUGAGACUCUGUCUCAAAAAAAAAAAAAAAAAAAAAAAAAGAA